CCAAACGUCCUUUUCAGGACGACCAAAAAUGUCAAAAAGAUUAUAU
rfam:Drosophila virilis strain TSC#15010-1051.87 Ctg01_17150, whole genome shotgun sequence.